rnacentral:rRNA from 1 species
CCUACGGGUGGCAGCAGUGAGGAAUAUUGGUCAAUGGCCGGAAGGCUGAACCAGCCAUGCCGCGUGAAGGUCAGUGCCCUAUGGGCGUUAAACUUCUUUUGUGCGGGAGCAAUAAUGGUCACGUGUGGCCAGACGAGAGUACCGUACGACUAAGCAUCGGCUAACUCCGUGCCAGCAGCCGCGGUAAUACGGGGGAUGCAAGCGUUAUCCGGAUUUAUUGGGUUUAAAGGGUGCGUAGGCUGUGAGGUAAGUCAGCGGUGAAAUGCCCCCGCUCAACGGGGUGAAGUGCCAUUGAUACUGCCUUGCUGGAAUGCGGAUGCCGUGGGAGGAAUGUGUGGUGUAGCGGUGAAAGGCAUAGAUAUCACACAGAACACCGAUUGCGAAGGCGACCUGCUAGAACAUAACUGACGCUGAUGCGCGAAAGCGUGGGGAGCAAACAGGAUUAGAUACCCGGGUAGUC